rnacentral:rRNA from 2 species
AACGCUAGCUACAGGCUUAACACAUGCAAGUCGAGGGGAAACGACAUCGAAAGCUUGCUUUUGAUGGGCGUCGACCGGCGCACGGGUGAGUAACGCGUAUCCAACCUGCCCACCACUUGGGGAUAACCUUGCGAAAGUAAGACUAAUACCCAAUGACGUCUCUAGAAGACAUCUGAAAGAGAUUAAAGAUUUAUCGGUGAUGGAUGGGGAUGCGUCUGAUUAGCUUGUUGGCGGGGUAACGGCCCACCAAGGCGACGAUCAGUAGGGGUUCUGAGAGGAAGGUCCCCCACAUUGGAACUGAGACACGGUCCAAACUCCUACGGGAGGCAGCAGUGAGGAAUAUUGGUCAAUGGGCGAGAGCCUGAACCAGCCAAGUAGCGUGCAGGAUGACGGCCCUAUGGGUUGUAAACUGCUUUUAUAAGGGAAUAAAGUGAGAGUCGUGACUCUUUUUGCAUGUACCUUAUGAAUAAGGACCGGCUAAUUCCGUGCCAGCAGCCGCGGUAAUACGGAAGGUCCGGGCGUUAUCCGGAUUUAUUGGGUUUAAAGGGAGCGUAGGCCGGAGAUUAAGCGUGUUGUGAAAUGUAGGCGCUCAACGUCUGCACUGCAGCGCGAACUGGUUUCCUUGAGUACGCACAAAGUGGGCGGAAUUCGUGGUGUUGCGGUGAAAUGCUUAGAUAUCACGAAAAAACUCCGAUUG